rnacentral:ncRNA from 1 species
UUUAACGAGAGUUUGAUCCUGGCUCAGGAUGAACGCUGGCGGCGUGCCUAACACAUGCAAGUCGAGCGAAGCACUUUGCUUAGAUUCUUCGGAUGAAGAGGAUUGUGACUGAGCGGCGGACGGGUGAGUAACGCGUGGGUAACCUGCCUCAUACAGGGGGAUAACAGUUAGAAAUGACUGCUAAUACCGCAUAAGACCACAGCACCGCAUGGU